AGUUCCCUGGGGUGUGCGUGAUCGUCGGUUUAUUUUUGAGCCGAUACUCAAAAAUAGGAUGCUGCGACGCGUGGCUGGUGUGCGUGCCCGGCUCGUCCGGGUGGCCUGAAGGUCAAACAGUGGCGUCCACCUUGGUUGCCAAGGUUCAAAAGAACUGACGACACGGCGCUCUGGGGCUUUG
rfam:Desulfovibrio magneticus RS-1 DNA, complete genome.